rnacentral:rRNA from 1 species
AUUGAACGCUGGCGGCAUGCCUUACACAUGCAAGUCGAACGGCAGCACGGGGCAACCUGGUGGCGAGUGGCGAACGGGUGAGUAAUGCAUCGGAACGUACCUUUCAGUGGGGGAUAACGUAGCGAAAGUUACGCUAAUACCGCAUAUUCUGUGAGCAGGAAAGCAGGGGAUCGCAAGACCUUGCGCUGAUUGAGCGGCCGAUGUCAGAUUAGCUAGUUGGUGAGGUAAAGGCUCACCAAGGCGACGAUCUGUAGCGGGUCUGAGAGGAUGAUCCGCCACACUGGAACUGAGACACGGUCCAGACUCCUACGGGAGGCAGCAGUGGGGAAUUUUGGACAAUGGGGGCAACCCUGAUCCAGCCAUGCCGCGUGAGUGAAGAAGGCCUUCGGGUUGUAAAGCUCUUUCGGCCGGGAAGAGAUCGCACGGGCUAAUACCCUGUGUGGAUGACGGUACCGGAAUAAGAAGCGCCGGCUAACUACGUGCCAGCCGCCGCGGUAACAC